UACGAAGGGGGCUAGCGUUGUUCGGAAUUACUGGGCGUAAAGCGCACGUAGGCGGUCAUUUAAGUCAGGGGUGAAAUCCCAGAGCUCAACUCUGGAACUGCCUUUGAUACUGGGUGUCUUGAGUAUGGAAGAGGUGAGUGGAAUUCCGAGUGUAGAGGUGAAAUUCGUAGAUAUUCGCAAGAACACCAGUGGCGAAGGCGGCUCACUGGCCCGGUACUGACGCUGAGGUGCGAAAGCGUGGGGAGCAAACAGG
rnacentral:rRNA from 1 species